GGAUCAGUACGCUGGUCGUGCCUUUGGUAUGUACUGGUGUCACUGAUUCCUCCCUUCUGAAGAACCGUUAUGCCAUUUAUUUGGUGUGGCGGGGAAUCAGGACUGUUACUUUUUGAAAAAUUAGAGUGUUUAAAGCAGGCUCGCGCUUGAAUACAUUAGCAUGGAAUAAUGAAAUAGGACGUUUGAUCUUAUUUUGUUGGUUUCUAGGAUCGACGUAAUGAU
rnacentral:rRNA from 1 species